rnacentral:rRNA from 1 species
UACAGAGGGGGCAAGCGUUGUUCGGAAUUACUGGGCGUAAAGGGCGGGUAGGCGGCCGCCUAAGUCAGACGUGAAAUCCCUCGGCUCAACCGGGGAACUGCGUCUGAUACUGGGUGGCUUGAAUCCGGGAGAGGGAUGCGGAAUUCCAGGUGUAGCGGUGAAAUGCGUAGAUAUCUGGAGGAACACCGGUGGCGAAGGCGGCAUCCUGGACCGGCAUUGACGCUGAGGCGCGAAAGCCAGGGGAGCAAACGGG